GAUGAACGCUGGCGGCGUGCCUAAUACAUGCAAGUCGAACGCGCAGCGAGAGGUGCUUGCACCUUUCAAGCGAGUGGCGAACGGGUGAGUAACACGUGGAUAACCUGCCUCAAGGCUGGGGAUAACAUUUGGAAACAGAUGCUAAUACCGAAUAAAACUUAGUAUCGCAUGAUAUCAAGUUAAAAGGCGCUACGGCGUCACCUAGAGAUGGAACCGCGGUGCAUUAGUUAGUUGGUGGGGUAAAGGCUUACCAAGACGAUGAUGCAUAGCCGAGUUGAGAGACUGAUCGGCCACAUUGGGACUGAGACACGGCCCAAACUCCUACGGGAGGCUGCAGUAGGGAAUCUUCCACAAUGGGCGCAAGCCUGAUGGAGCAACGCCGCGUGUGUGAUGAAGGCUUUCGGGUCGUAAAGCACCGUUGUAUGGGAAGAAAUGCUAAAAUAGGGAAUGAUUUUAGUUUGACGGUACCAUACCAGAAAGGGACGGCUAAAUACGUGCCAGCCGCCGCGGUAACAC
rnacentral:rRNA from 1 species